rnacentral:rRNA from 1 species
CGACGCCGCGUGAGGGAUGAAGGCCUUCGGGUUGUAAACCUCUUUUAAGUGGGAUGAAAAAAAAUGACAGUACCACUUGAAUAAGCCCCGGCUAACUCCGUGC